rnacentral:rRNA from 1 species
AUACGUAGGGAGCAAGCGUUGUCCGGAAUUACUGGGCGUAAAGGGUGAGUAGGCGGUUAUAUAUGUCAGAUGUAAAAGGCACAGGCUUAACUUGUGUAAGCAUUUGAAACUGUAUAACUUGAGAGCAGGAGAGGUAAGUGGAAUUCCUAGUGUAGCGGUGAAAUGCGUAGAUAUUAGGAGGAACACCAGUGGCGAAGGCGACUUACUGGACUGUAACUGACGCUGAGUCACGAAAGCGUGGGUAGC